CAACAAAAACCAGCUGCUUCUAUGCCCAGUGAUUAACCUAUGGUGAAAACUGGAGGGGUGUUUGGAAGAUGUGCCUGAAAUCAGUGUUACGAAACAACUGGAUCAUGACAACUUUUUUCUUCAGAGAGAAUCCGUGCAUGCGUCGGAGGAACAUGGAUAUGGAUUAUACGUAGAGACUACCUUUUUUGUGGAUUUAUAAAAGCAAUUAGAAUUGUAACCAUGGAGAAAUUUUUCCUCUGAAACAUUUUAAUAUACUUGAAAUAAUUGACUUGAAUUGGAAAAGGAAUUUGAACACUUUUCAACUCCUAAUUUUAUUAAAUCUCUUUGAGUGACUUGGAUUUUGCUCAUGUUAUAUGUAAUGAGGUUUGACCCUUUUCUUCCUCCUCCACCUUCCCUUCCCAAGGACUAAGGCUUUCAAACUGAGCAGAGAACAUACAAUUUUGUAUUUGAAUUUCUCUGCCCAUCUAAACAUCUCAGAGGUGAAGUAUCAGUGUUACAAACUGUCUCUUGGAUUGUUUUGGUCUUUCUCCUGUGGUGUUAUUUGGAACAAAGCAGUGAAAUGUGACCUGUGAAUACAUGGACUGUAUUUCAUCUUACCAUAAAAAAAAAAAAAAAGCUGAUUAUGCUGAAGACUGGGUAUUGAUUUUUAAAACACAAUCAGAUAUCAGGAAACUGUAUUCAGUCUUCCAGUCAGUGUAUAUGACAUUAUCUGCCACUUUCCAGCCAGGGCAAUGGCUGCACCUCAUCCAUCGUCAUGAGAACUCGCACCCGUGUGGUCUGGUAAGAUGUCUUUUUGUGGAGGAGGUACAAAUGUAAGAUCGCAUCAGAAGGUCAAAAUAACCAUGUUCGCUUUCAACACAAACUGUAAAUUGUGCAAAAAAAAAAAAGUUGGAUUUAUGCACAACUCUUUUGAUUCUCUUGUACAUUUUUUGCUGUGAAAUGCACUGAGAUCUCAAUGCGAGUCAUAGUCCAUUUGUGAGACAUGGGGGUGGGGAUAAUAAAACUACAAAAUGA